UACGUAGGGUCCAAGCGUUAUCCGGAAUCACUGGGCGUAAAGCGUGCGUAGGUGGCGUGUUAAGUGUGAUGUUAAAUCGUGGGGCUCAACCCUAUCGAUGCAUCGCAUACUGGCAUGCUAGAGGGAAGCAGAGGCAAGUGGAAUUUGUAGUGUAGCAGUGAAAUGCGUAGAUAUUACAAGGAACACCAAUGGCGAAGGCAGCUUGCUGGGCUUCUUCUGACACUGAGGUACGAAAGCGUGGGGAGCGAAACAGG
rnacentral:rRNA from 1 species